CCGGGCUUCAAAUCAAGUUUAAUAAAUAAAACAGCAAAGGGGGGUUCAAGGCAGUUAUCACUUCACAGUGUGGUCCUUGGUGGGGUGAGGGAUGGUCGAGUCCAACUCGGAAAGGGGCUCGAGCACAAGAGGCAGGUGGGGGUGUAAAGUGCGGCUUUUCCUGAAGUGGAGACGAUGGGGUGGGAAGGCGAGGCUGGGGUGGGGGCCGGACAGCGAGGUAUAUGGCUCUGUGCCCCACGGGGUUGGCACUGAGUAGCAGCUGCCCACGACCCCCAGGGCUGGGGCAGCCCGCGGCCCUGCCGGGUGUGGAGAGACAGAGCCAAGCAGGGAGCUGAGGGCGCCCCGGCGGAGGCUGCUGGUGCGGGGCAGGGCGUCCUGCCCGUCUCCCCGCCGGGGCAGUGACGCCUUCCCUCGCCUCUGCUGGCUGGAAGGGACUAGGUGGCCGGCUCUGCCCUGCGUCCCAACGGCGGGGUCUCUUCUGUCCCCGGCUGCCCGACGGAUCCCACGUGCAGGCAGCGGCCCGGACCCGGGUGGCAGUGCCG
ensembl:lncRNA novel transcript, antisense to MIER2